YUACGUGCCAGCAGCCGCGGUAAUACGGAGGAUGCGAGCGUUAUCCGGAUUUAUUGGGUUUAAAGGGUGCGUAGGCGGCCUGUUAAGUCAGCGGUGAAAUCUAGGAGCUUAACUCCUAAAUUGCCAUUGAUACUGGCGGGCUUGAGCGUAGAUGAGGUAGGCGGAAUGCGUGGUGUAGCGGUGGAAUGCAUAGAUAUCACGCAGAACUCCGAUUGCGAAGGCAGCUUACUAAGGUACAACUGACGCUGAAGCACGAAAGCGUGGGUAUCAAACAGGAUUAGAUACCCUGGUAGUCCACGCAGUAAACGAUGAUAACUGGGCGUAUGCGAUAUACAGUAUGCUCCUAAGCGAAAGCGUUAAGUUAUCCACCUGGGGAGUACGCCGGCAACGGUGAAACUCAAAGGAAUUGACGGGGGCCCGCACAAGCGGAGGAACAUGUGGUUUAAUUCGAUGAUACGCGAGGAACCUUACCCGGGAUUGAAAU
rnacentral:rRNA from 1 species